rnacentral:rRNA from 1 species
GCCGCGUGUAUGAAGAAGGCCUUCGGGUUGUAAAGUACUUUCAGCGGGGAGGAAGGGAGUAAAGUUAAUACCUUUGCUCAUUGACGUUACCCGCAGAAGAAGCACCGGCUAACUCCGUGCCAGCAGCCGCGGUAAUACGGAGGGUGCAAGCGUUAAUCGGAAUUACUGGGCGUAAAGCGCACGCAGGCGGUUUGUUAAGUCAGAUGUGAAAUCCCCGGGCUCAACCUGGGAACUGCAUCUGAUACUGGCAAGCUUGAGUCUCGUAGAGGGGGGUAGAAUUCCAGGUGUA